UACGAAGGGUGCUAGCGUUGUUCGGAAUCACUGGGCGUAAAGCGUGCGUAGGCGGCAAAGUAAGUCUGAUGUGAAAGCCCGGAGCUCAACUCCGUAACUGCCAUUGAAACUGUUAGACUUGAGGAUGAGAGAGGUGAGUGGAAUUCCCAGUGUAGAGGUGAAAUUCGUAGAUAUUGGGAAGAACACCGGUGGCGAAGGCGGCUCACUGGCUCAUUACUGACGCUCAGGCGCGAUAGCGUGGGGAUCAAACAGG
rnacentral:rRNA from 1 species